UGGGGAAUAUUGGACAAUGGGCGCAAGCCUGAUCCAGCCAUGCCGCGUGAGUGAUGAAGGCCCUAGGGUUGUAAAGCUCUUUCACCGGUGAAGAUAAUGACGGUAACCGGAGAAGAAGCCCCGGCUAACUUCGUGCCAGCAGCCGCGGUAAUACGAAGGGGGCUAGCGUUGUUCGGAUUUACUGGGCGUAAAGCGCACGUAGGCGGACUUUUAAGUCAGGGGUGAAAUCCCGGGGCUCAACCCCGGAACUGCCUUUGAUACUGGAAGUCUUGAGUAUGGUAGAGGUGAGUGGAAGUCCGAGUGUAGAGGUGAAAUUCGUAGAUAUUCGGAGGAACACCAGUGGCGAAGGCGGCUCACUGGACCAUUACUGACGCUGAGGUGCGAAAGCGUGGGGAGCAAACAGG
rnacentral:rRNA from 2 species